rnacentral:rRNA from 1 species
UACGUAGGGACCGAGGCGUUGUCCGGAAUCAUUGGGCGUAAAGAGCGUGUAGGCGGCCUUUUAAGUCCUGCGUGAAAUCCUGCGGCUCAACCGCAGACGGGUCGUGGGAAACCGUCUGGCUAGAGUCCGGAAGAGGAGAGUGGAAUUCCCGGUGUAGCGGUGAAAUGACGCAGAUAUCGGGAAGAACACCCGUGGCGAAGGCGGCUCUCUGGGACGGUACUGGACGCUGAGACGCGAAAGCGGUGGGGAGCGAACGAGGA